rnacentral:rRNA from 1 species
GUGAACGCUGGCGGUAGGCCUAACACAUGCAGGUCGCACGGCAGCACAGUAAGAGCUUGCUCUUACGGGUGGCGAGUGGCGGACGGGUGAGGAAUACAUCGGAAUCUACUUUUUCGUGGGGGAUAACGUAGGGAAACUUACGCUAAUACCGCAUACGACCUACGGGUGAAAGCAGGGGAUCUUCGGACCUUGCGCGAUUGAAUGAGCCGAUGUCGGAUUAGCUAGUUGGCGGGGUAAAGGCCCACCAAGGCGACGAUCCGUAGCUGGUCUGAGAGGAUGAUCAGCCACACUGGAACUGAGACACGGUCCAGACUCCUACGGGAGGCAGCAGUGGGGAAUAUUGGACAAUGGGCGCAAGCCUGAUCCAGCCAUACCGCGUGGGUGAAGAAGGCCUUCGGGUUGUAAAGCCCUUUUGUUGGGAAAGAAAAGCAGCAGGUUAAUACCCCGCUGUUCUGACGGUACCCAAAGAAUAAGCACCGGCUAACUUCGUG